CAGUCGCCACGGGAAUACGGAGGGAGCUAGCGUUAUUCGGAAUUACUGGGCGUAAAGCGCACGUAGGCGGCUUUGUAAGUAAGAGGUGAAAGCCCGGAGCUCAACUCCGGAACUGCCUUUUAGACUGCAUCGCUUGAAUCCAGGAGAGGUGAGUGGAAUUCCGAGUGUAGAGGUGAAAUUCGUAGAUAUUUGGAAGAACACCAGUGGCGAAGGCGGCUCACUGGACUGGUAUUGACGCUGAGGUGCGAAAGCGUGGGGAGCAAACAGGAUUAGAUACCCGCGUAGUCCCUGUCUCUUAUAA
rnacentral:rRNA from 1 species